AGCAAAAGUGCCACGUCAAGACUGGAAAUCACAGCCCUUCAGAGUGUCUCAGUCAAUGCAGCAGACAGAUUUCAGGGGGGAAGUCGAAUCAGCCCCUGGUGCAGGAAGACAGGCUCUUCCCCUGCACCCACCGGGACAGGAUUUUCAGUGCACAGAUGGAAGCUCCCGGAGAUCCUGCUCCGUCGCCCCAGUGUUCAGACUACCUGUUCAGGACAAUGCCGUUGUACAGUAGUCUGCACAUUGGUUUGUACACUAGGGACCAAGAAGCCCCCGGGGACUCCUCUGGGAAAGAACUGCUGGAAGGGAAGACCAGCGGGUAAGGCCUCUGUGACCGCUCACCUGGGUCUGUGACUGGAGGGACUAGGUAGGAAAUCCCAUCAUCUGUGUGAGCAUGGGAGAGAAACUGGGCUGGAUGUGUGAUGGAUACUGACGUUUAGCUUCUAAGAGCAAGGAAGGUUGUGUGGUAAAGGGUGAUGUGCUGGUAUUUUUUUUUUUAAUUUUUAAAUAUUGAUAAUUCAAAUGUCUUAAAUUUAAAGGCCUUCUACUUUAAAAUGAAAUAUGAAAAACCGCACUCCAGACACCUAAGAAUAACUGAAUGAGACUUAGUUUUGAAUGGCUGAAAUUGAUAAGUCACAGCCUUAAAUAGGGCUAUGAAUGAGCGCUAUGCUGUAACUGAAUGCAUUUUGCCCUAAAGUUAAAAAAAAAAAAAAAUACUUGCACUCUUCAAAAUUUCAUAUGAACAAAGAGCUUGUCUAAAUAAUUGCGAAUAUAAUAUAAACACCAGGAAGAAUAGUACCAACCAUAAAAAAGGAGCCUUCCAAGCUUUGCCACUAGACAGUGCGGAUGGGACCUUGGCAAGCGAAGAGUGCCAACCCACAAUUUACUGAGUCAGCAACUGAACAGCCCAGGAAUAGAAACUUCUAGCUUUAGAUAUCUAACUAUAGGCACUGGAUUUAUUCUUUUAAAAUCCAAGGAUGGUUGAUACUUGCUCAUCAGCUGGGGCCUGUAGCGGUAUUUUACAAGGCUUUUACUUGUCCCAGGCUUUAAAAUGAUAAGGUACUUUGUCUAGAAACCCACUGAUAAAAAAGGAAUUUGUAAACGAAGGCAAAAGUUUUCCUUGGUCAGUUUCCAGCUGUCCUGGAGGUGAAAGAGUGGGGGAGGGGAGGAGGUGGGAAGGAAGAAACCCUCAAGCUGAAUGGAACCCUGAUAAAGAAAAAUAAUGGAGCCUGGGUUGCCAUGUGAGUCGGGUGAUGUAUUGAACUUCAGAGGUAGGUCCCUCAAAGAAAGUUCUGGAAAAAAUGUUCCUGCCGUACCCAUAAACUCAACUUUCAAUUUGUUUCUCUCCCUAAACAAUUCUAUACCUGCUUUUUCUGGAAAAUGAAUAUAGUUUCUUUUGUCCACCUCUAAAUACAAAUCCUUUUCUAAGUUAUCCAUUCUGCAACAAUUCAAGAAUGAACACAAGUUCUCUUUUGUAAAAUAUUUUUUUGCAGUGGAAUUCCCUAAUUUCUUUUUCAUCAAAACAAUUUAUUUUAAAAAUUAUAUUUCAUAUCAUACUAAAACUGGUGUAAUGGACAUAAAAGGUUUCUGGUGUAUUAUGGUGAUUAGCUAAAAUAUAAAUAGCAAGCAGACACUUAGCUAUUUUAUACUUAGAUAAAAUAGGAUAGGCAUCCUUUUAUUUUCUACUGAGAGAGAAUUCUCUACUGUUUUUUGAAAGACCAACUGAGAUUUCAAAACUUACAUAGUUUCUUUUACAUAGAAAAACUAAAAAACACUGAGUUAACUUAUAGAAGUUUAAUUUGUUUCAGGAAACAUUUUUACUAACUGAUAACAAUUACUAAAAGCACUAAUACAAUGUUUACGAUUUCUCAAAUUUUGAGAAUUAUUUUUUACUCUAGAAAUGUCUGAAUUUUAUGACUUACUUUCAUUUAAUGCAUAUUUAAUUUUUAAAUUCUCUUCUCCUAUUAAAUAGCCUUUUUGUUUCAAAGAGACUAACCUCUACAGGUUCCUGACCUACUUUCUCCCAAGGGAUGAUUUUUAGUCUGAAGAUAGAAAGGAGUUAAGGGUGAGUCUGGCGUACGUCCAAGAGUAGAAAUAAUAAGCAUUACUUUGUAAACCCAACAGUCUCUGCCUAUGUGUGGUGGCAUUCUAACAACCCAUUUUCAAGGCAAGCUUUAAAGAAAUGAGGAACAACAUACUUGAUUUUAAGUAUGAGUUAAAUUAAGAGAAAAGAAAAGGUCUUUUUAUAAACCUCUACUGAAUGGAUUAGUGUAUACGUUGGUACUAUACCACCAUAAAUACACAGUAUCAUAAAGAAACAGCGAUAUCUACUUCCAAGAAACUUAGAAUAAUGUAUAAUUUUAUUUUAAUAUUACUUUAGAAGGAGAUAUACAAAUAUUUUAGGAAUUGUGGAAUGUAUCCAGAGGAAACUAACCAACAGCGAACUUCUUAAACUAAAAUUGCUCCUGGAGUGAUGGUAAGUCCAAGUACUAAAAUGAAAACGUCGUACGUGUUCAUGAUGAGAAAACAUUUUGUGGAGUCUGUCCAAACUGCACUCGGAUAGAAAUGAUGUUGUUAUUUUACAUUUCAGAGGGUGAAUGACUGAUUAAGUUAGACUAGGUCCUGGGUCAAAAGAACUUUUUUGACCAACUAAGAGAAAUUCUGACCUGGAGCUUCAAGGCCAUCACUCUACAGUCUACUUAAAAUUUCAAAUUAUUUUUUAAGCCACAUAUCUCAAAUUCAAAGAACGUUUGUUUAUACUGGGACAGCGUUUCGCACUGAUCACUUUCCUGCAAUUAGUCAAUAGGCUUAAUAUUCUUCCUGCUUGCCAUUUGAGCUUUUGGCUUAGAUAAUAUGUUUAUGUUUUUUAAAGACCAAAAUAUACUGUCUCCCCCACCUCUUGCCUACAGACCACCCAAGUAUUUCACUCUGUGGGAAAGAGAAAGUUUAGGCAUAAAAAAUACUAGUGAAAGAAUUUUUUUUUCUCUUGCUGAAGUUUUGGGCUGUUGUGGGAAAUGAAAAGAAACUACAACUUGGUAGUUUUUAAAAUGUCUUUCACCCACAAAUGUCCAUGCUUAUGGAAAGCCCAAGCAAGCUCUUAAUGACUCCCUAAAAUCAGCUUUUUGCUCUUAUGUCAGGAUAAUAACUUCCCAUCAUAAUAAUGUCCAAAUAAUAACAAGAUCAUCACUUAGAAAUCCUAUCUUAAAAUAACUAGACGGUCAGGCUCUAACCUCAGACAGGAAAUUCCUGUUAAGAUCAGAACCCUUGUUACUUUGGUGUCCUACAGGUAGAUACAAAUACUUAGCCCUUUAUCAAAGGACUUUUAUUAUUCUCUCAUCAGUUGUAAUAAAUAGAGAUAAUGAAGUAAAUGAAGCCAAAUAAUUAAAUUUUUAUUUUGGACCGUCUGGUUUCAGGAUACCCAGUUUACUGGAGUAGCUUUGGCUUAAUUUCACUGCUCGAGAUUUAGAAGACAAUUCCUUUCUUGCAUUUCUUUCUCAAGAAAUAAAAGAUGGGAAGAAAAUAAGGCAUCAUCAAAAAUAUUAAAUACUACAUGCUAUGAUAAUUGUGUAAUAGCUCUUUCAUAUUUUAGAAUAAGAUUUUAAGUGAUAAUCAUCUAAGUGUAGUGUGGGAAAUGGGGGACAUCUUGUACUUUUUUCUGUCUGAUUAUUUUUUUAACAAGCUUGGGUCAGGUUCAACAUAACUGUGAAUUAUGCACAUGGCACAUAUUUACUAUAAAUGUGUUUUGAAAAUCCACUAGGAAAAAAAAAUGAAUUGUCCCCAUAUCUCAUGAAUGGAACAAUCCUAUUUUUCCUCAUUUUCCAGCAAGAGUUAUUUUUCCUGGUAAAACUGCUAUGAUUUUUUCAGGCUCAAACAUUUUGGAGUACUUUGGUAUAAUAAAACUGUUUCAUAUUAAAAGAUAACACAUAAACUCACAAAGAUUUCCUUUUUAUUUUUUUCAGGUUACAUGCAUCAUUCCUUUAAUUGAGCAGAGUAAACUGGAUCAAAUUAUUUAUGAGAGAGAGAGAAGGGAAAGCGAUAUACAACUAUAGUAAUUUUUAAUUACUACCAGUAAAUUCUUUGUAAGUGACUCACUCUAUAAUUAUUUUCUGUUGCACUAAAUGAAACAACAAUAACCAAACAGCAUUUAAAGGUACUUGCUUUGUGCACACUUUGUAAUUGUUUAAAUAGUAGCCAAGUUUUGAUUCUAUCAAGGAAGAAAAAUAAGUUUUCUCUGAAGUGGGCAGAAGCACACAUAAAAUUUCUUGAAAUUAAAUAGUUACAGAUAAAAUUGUAUUUAUUGGCCUGUUAAAAAUCAUACCAUAUCUAGGCACUGGGUGAAAAUUAAGAUUUUCAGAAAACGGUCACUUUUUAUUCUCUAAAAAGUAUUCUGUUCUCCAUAAAACUUCUAUUUGCUUUGCUUUUUUUAUAAUUUUACAAUUAAAGGGAAAUAAUAAAGUAUUUGGUUUCUUUAAAGUUCUUUGAAAAUAUCUCUAAUAUAUAUUCAUUGGACAAUAAUGUAUAUUUUUUUAUUUUUAAAGGAAUGCCACUUUUUAAAAUGUUGACUCUUUGGAUAUGUUGUUUUUAAAAGGAGACUGAAAUUGUUAAAUGCCUCUACAGAUGAAAUUGUUGAUUUAUAUUAAAAUAGCCUGAAUUAUUCUUGCCUCUCCAGGGUUACAUUUUACAUUUGUAUAUUUUACACUAUUGAUUCUUUCUUAUACAAACUAGGAUCUGGUUUCCAGUUUGGACAUGAGGUGAAUUUUUCUGUGUCUGUAGCUAAAUUGUAUUAGCAAUUUUAAAAACACAUUCUGAACUUCUGAACACUACCAUGGUUAACAACUAUCUAGUUCAUACCUUUGAUUCAUGGUAUUAAUUAACGCAAAUUGCCUUUUAUUUGAUUUUCACAUGUAUAUGCUAAAAUUUUGCACUUAAAAGGAAAAUGAAAAAUUUUAAAUAAAUUCCUGUUGUUUGAUACAAUAAAAUAUAUUCCCUUAUAAAAAUCCCAUUAUCAACACAUCAGAUACCAAAGUCUGUUGGCUGAGUUUGCAAAUACAUUAGGCUCAUUAACAAUUUUGAAAAUGGCUGCUGUUAACAUGUAAAUGUCAAUUUUUUUUCUUCAUGGGCAAGGCUGUGUGACGUAUUUACUAUAAGAAACAUGUAUAAAUAGAUUCAUUAUCUUUAAUUUCAUUGUUAAGAUAUGCAGGGUUUUUGUGAAGAAGAAAAUCAUCUGGUCCGAUUACUCUGAGCUCUGACUGCAUGAGGACCAGUGAUAAUAGGAAUUGGAUUUAAAAAAAUAAAAAAACACAAAAACAUACAUUGGAGCAUUUUUUCAUACCCUUAAAAUCAUAUGAGUUUUCUGUUUUGCCAACUAUCCAUGUUAGCACGUUUGGAUCAAAUGUAUAAAGUAUACUUUCUGAAUAAAGUCAAAAGUCUAACUUGUUUUUAGUUCCAUAAUGUUUUAAUGUUUAAUUCUAUUGUGUGUUUUUCUCCUUUCCCCUUACCCUCCAAAAUCACCAAACCUGGAAAACAGGCUGAUUGUAUCUGUCCAUGAGCAAAGGAAACCUGAAGGACCCAAGGGCCUGGCUGGACAGAGUUGUCAUGUGUCUGCCUGUCUACACUUGCUGUGCAGAACAUCCGCUCACCUGUACAGCAGGCACAGACAGGCAGUCACAUGACAACCCAGCCUGAAUGACAACCAGCCAUUGAAAGAGCAGCCCUCACACCAUAGCAUCUACACCAAGAGCUACAACCACAAUGAAAGGCUUGGGGGCCUGGGGUUUUAAUCUGUUGGCUUAUUAAAACUCGUCUGUAAUAUUUUAAUUUUGAUUCGCAUUUUAAAACCCACCCAAAGUAAAGUGAGUGGUGCCUAUGAAAUACAAUAAAACCCAUUUCUGAAAA